rnacentral:rRNA from 1 species
GACGAACGCUGGCGGCGUGCUUAACACAUGCAAGUCGAACGGAAAGGCCCUGCUUUUGUGGGGUGCUCGAGUGGCGAACGGGUGAGUAACACGUGAGUAACCUGCCCUUGACUUUGGGAUAACUUCAGGAAACUGGGGCUAAUACCGGAUAGGAGCUCCUGCUGCAGGGUGGGGGUUGGAAAGUUUCGGCGGUUGGGGAUGGACGCGCGGCUUAUCAGCUUGUUGGUGGGGUAGUGGCUUACCAAGGCAUUGACGGGUAGCCGGCCGGAGAGGGUGAACGGCCACCUUGGGACUGAGAUACGGCCCAGACUCCUACGGGAGGCAGCAGUGGGGAAUAUUGCACAAUGGGCGGAAGCCUGAUGCAGCAACGCCGCGUGCGGGAUGACGGCCUUCGGGUUGUAAACCGCUUUCGCCUGUGACGAAGCGUGAGUGACGGUAAUGGGUAAAGAAGCACCGGCUAACUACGUG